rnacentral:rRNA from 1 species
GACGAACGCUGGCGGUGUGCUUAACACAUGCAAGUCGAACGGUAAGGCCCUUUCGGGGGUACACGAGUGGCGAACGGGUGAGUAACACGUGAGUAACCUGCCCUCAUCUCUGGGAUAACAGUCGGAAACGGUUGCUAAUACUGGAUAUGAGCUUGCAAGGCAUCUUGUGGGUUGGAAAGAUUUUUUUGGUUGGGGAUGGACUCGCGGCCUAUCAGCUUGUUGGUGAGGUAGUGGCUCACCAAGGCUUCGACGGGUAGCCGGCCUGAGAGGGCGACCGGCCACAUUGGGACUGAGAUACGGCCCAAACUCCUACGGGAGGCGGCAGUGGGGAAUAUUGCACAAUGGACGGAAGUCUGAUGCAGCAACGCCGCGGGCGGGAUGACGGCCUUCGGGUUGUAAACCGCUUUCAAUUGUGACGAAGCUUUUUGUGACGGUAGCAGUAGAAGAAGCACCGGCUAACUACGUG